AGUUUGUCUAUAGCUGCAGCCUAAACCUGUUAAACAGAAAUUUGAUAUCGCUUUCUCUGGUGACACAGUUGGGAAAAACACCUUGCGGUCAAUAGAUAGGGGGAGGUUGGUGAGAUACAACUGCUGCCACAGACCUACCUGAGACUCAACCAGAGAGGAACAUCACAUUCACUGUUAUGUACCUGUCCUUUUCUCCAUCUAGAGGUGAACCAUGUCCUUCUCAAGCUGCCAGAUGACUCGUCCGCGCCAAAUUGCCUUUGGCUGCGUACUGUUGGUGUGUUUCUUUGUGAUUUUUUUAACAUACUACAAGUUUGAAAUCAAGUUCCCUGAUUUCAGUGUUUAUCUGAAGAGAGGAAAUCAUUCUUGUGUGUGUCCUGUGGAGGCACAGACCCAGGGCUCAAACCAAAACCGUUCCUCGGAGCAGCACGAGGAAGCACCUACCGAUGGUCCCCAGAAGAUCCAGGAUGUGGAGGUGGAGGCUGAGCCCGACACUCUCCUGUUGAUUUGGAUGUGGCCAUUUAAC